GGGGUCAUAGCUCAGUUGGUAGAGCGCCUCCAUGGCAUGGAGGAGGUCUGGGGUUCGACUCCCCAUGGCUCCACCA
rnacentral:tRNA from 1 species